GAACGCUGGCGGCGUGCUUAACACAUGCAAGUCGCGCGUGAAAGGACUUCGGUCCGAGUAAAGCGGCGCACGGGUGAGUAACGCGUGGAUGAUCUACCCAUGAGUUAGGAAUAACGGCUGGAAACGGUCGCUAAUACCAAAUACGCUCCGAUUUCAACUUCGGGGGAAAGGUGGCCUCUGCUUGCAAGCUACUGCUCAUGGAUGAGUCCGCGUCCCAUUAGCUAGUUGGUGGGGUAACGGCCCACCAAGGCGACGAUGGGUAGCCGGUCUGAGAGGAUGACCGGCCACACUGGGACUGGAACACGGCCCAGACUCCUACGGGAGGCAGCAGUGGGGAAUAUUGCGCAAUGGGCGAAAGCCUGACGCAGCGACGCCGCGUGAGGGGAAUGAAGGUCCUCGGAUCGUAAACCUCUGUCAGGAGGGAAGAACCGCCACGGUGCUAAUCAGCCGUGGUCUGACGGUACCUCCAAAGGAAGCACCGGCUAACUCCGUGCCAGCCGCCGC
rnacentral:rRNA from 1 species